rnacentral:rRNA from 1 species
AUGGGCAAACUAGUUGCAGCAAUAGGCAAGUUGCUUUGCUGUGUACAAGUGGACCAGUCAACAGUAGCCAUCAAGGAACGAUUUGGGAAAUUUGAGGAUGUGCUUGAUCCGGGGUGUCACUGUGUGCCAUGGAUUAUCGGAAGCCGUGUCAGUGGUAAGCUUACACUUAGGCUUAGGCAAAUGGAUGUUCGCUGCGAGACAAAGACAAAGGAUAACGUUUUUGUUACAAUUGUUGCAUCCAUUCAAUACCGAGCAAUGGAGGACAAAGCAAAUGAUGCGUAUUAUAAGCUGAGCAACCCAAAAUCUCAAAUCCAAUCUUAUGUCUUUGAUGUUAUCAGAGCAAGCAUUCCCAAACUACAACUGGAUGAUGUUUUUGAGCAAAAGAAUGACAUAGCAAAAUCUGUGGAGCAGGAGCUUGAGAAGGCUAUGUUUGCUUAUGGCUAUGAGAUUGUGCAGACACUAAUUGUUGAUAUAGAGCCAGAUGAAAAGGUUAAAAAGGCUAUGAAUGAAAUUAAUGCCGCUGCAAGAAUGCGUGUUGCGGCAAAUGAAAAGGCAGAGGCAGAAAAGAUCGUUCAAAUCAAGAGAGCUGAGGGAGAGGCUGAAGCUAAGUAUCUCUCUGGCCUUGGAAUUGCAAGGCAGCGGCAGGCAAUAGUUGAUGGCCUCAGAGACAGUGUGCUUGGCUUUUCUGGCAAUGUGCCUGGGACUUCCGCCAAGGAUGUGAUGGACUUGGUUCUGCUCACUCAAUACUUUGACACCAUGAAAGAGAUCGGCGCUUCAUCCAAAUCUUCUGCAGUUUUCCUCCCGCAUGGCCCAGGUGCUGUUGCAGACAUUGCCAGUCAGAUUCGCAAUGGAUUUCUUCAGGCGUCCACACAUAAUGCCUGA